UUAUCUAAGUCUGAUGGUUUUCCUUGGUCUUCCUUGGAAAAGGCUGUCAAACUUGGGGCUAUCGAUUAUUUUUUUAAACCCUUCAGUGGUCCUCGUCUGCUAGAUUUGUGGUCACCUUUCUUAAAGCAUUAUAUGGCCAGGCGUAAAGAGGCCAAAGCCGAUGAUACCCUCCACGAGAAAGAUGAUACCCUCCACGAGAAAGAUGAUACCGAUGACACCCUCCACGAGAAAGAUGAUACACCCUAGUAUGAUCAGCAGACUACUGCAAAAUCCAUAGUUGCAGCUACUAAAUAAAGAGACUGAGAAGAAUAUAAAAUUACUUUUACUAUUAAAAUAGUUAAUUUCCUUCAUUAAUUCAUUGCAAUCUUUAGUGUGAAUUCUUAUUUAUAAUAAUAUAUGAUUAUUUAAAUAAUAAAGAAAACUGAUUUUACAAAAAAAA
rnacentral:lncRNA from 1 species